CCUACGGGAGACAGCAGUGAGGAAUAUUGGUCAAUGGACGCAAGUCUGAACCAGCCAUGCCGCGUGCAGGAAGACGGCUCUAUGAGUUGUAAACUGCUUUUGUACGAGGGUAAACGCAGAUACGCGUAUCUGUCUGAAAGUAUCGUACGAAUAAGGAUCGGCUAACUCCGUGCCAGCAGCCGCGGUAAUACGGAGGAUUCAAGCGUUAUCCGGAUUUAUUGGGUUUAAAGGGUGCGUAGGCGGUCGGAUAAGUUAGAGGUGAAAUCCCGAGGCUCAACUUCGGAAUUGCCUCUGAUACUGUUCGUCUAGAGAGUAGUUGCGGUAGGCGGAAUGUAUGGUGUAGCGGUGAAAUGCUUAGAGAUCAUACAGAACACCGAUUGCGAAGGCAGCUUACCAAGCUACUUCUGACGUUGAGGCACGAAAGCGUGGGGAGCAAACAGGAUUAGAUACCCCUGUAGUC
rnacentral:rRNA from 1 species